rnacentral:lncRNA from 1 species
CACAAAUGCCACCAAUCAAGCCAUUUCUUUCUCAAGGGGAACUGAGUGAUUUGCAGGGUUUGGGGAAGGUUGCCUGUGCCUAAAGCAUCAUUCCGUCCCACUCUGGACUCAGGAUGGGCAACAGCUCAUCUCUGCUUGGUAAGGUCUACAGCUUCAACUGAGGACUUUAAUCCUGAGGGUAACUCAAGAGCAGGAGCAGGAAACAUCAGCGGCCAUCCUCACUCCUGCAUGUCUGGCCAUUGGUGCUGCCUGUCAGGUGCUGUGCACGGAGCUCGACUAUCCUGAAUCCACCAUGAUUCGACCUCAUGUCAGUCCUUUGGCUGCCAGCCCAGUUCAACUCCAAGCUGAUGACCAGUGUCGACCGCCAGUCAUUCUGAACAUUUGACCAGUUGAGCUUUCAAAUGAUGGCAGUCCUGGCUGACAUUUUGGGUGAACAAUAUGAGAGACUGACUGGUUGAGCCCUUCCCAAAUUUCUGACCCACAACAUUGUGAGAAAAAUAAUCUUAAGCCUCUCAGUUUGGGGACAAUUUGUUACUCAGCAAUAGAAAUGAAAAUAUGAUCUCAGUAGGACCAUGUGACUUGCAGCAACCAGGGUGACAAUGAACGUCCCUGCAGAUACCCGAGGAGGGGACGCAUGAAGGUUCCCUAGGUGCCCUGUAAAUCUACAGCUUCCUGCUUUCCUCUGCCACAAACACAUGACACGCUGUACCUCUACACCUAAUCUUUUGGUUUGGAAAGGAACGGAAGGUGAUAGAAAUCUGAAAGUUGCGACUGAGGUUUACCAUCCUAAACACAUUAUUUCAGGAGACUAACUCCAAGAUGAUUGGCAUGAACUAGAAUUUUUCUCCCCUUUCUUAUAAAGCAAAUGGGACAGCUCAGGAGGAAGAUCGGAGCAGUUAUAUACAAAAAAUUAACACACAAAUGAAGCAACCACGUGGCCUCUGUGUAUAUGGAGAAAAGUGUGAGCAAAUGUGGGGCCCUAAUACAGAAUGUCAGCCAGGAAGACGAGGAAGGCAGACCUCCCUAGAACAGUGGUACAAGACAUUGGUGGUCAUCUUAACAGAUGUGCACUGACUGAUAUCCUUCAGAAUAGGAAGGAAAUGUGAGAUCUUAAGAAGGAAUUCUAGGGGAGGUCUCAGCUUUACCCCCUGUGACUUGCACUUGGUCAGUAUACAACUUAUUCUUCCCACCAGAGUGAUAGAAAGAAAAAAAGAAACUGAGUUCUGUAUGUUGAGAAAUAUCAUCUUGGCCUUUAAAUUAUUUUAAAAUUAUAGCAACAUGAGUCUUCCUGAAA